rnacentral:rRNA from 1 species
GAUGAACGCUAGCUACAGGCUUAACACAUGCAAGUCGAGGGGAAACGACAUCGAAAGCUUGCUUUUGGUGGGCGUCGACCGGCGCACGGGUGAGUAACGCGUAUCCAACCUGCCCACCACUUGGGGAUAACCUUGCGAAAGUAAGACUAAUACCCAAUGAUAUCCCACGAAGGCAUCCGAAUGGGAUUAAAGAUUUAUCGGUGAUGGAUGGGGAUGCGUCUGAUUAGCUUGUUGGCGGGGUAACGGCCCACCAAGGCAACGAUCAGUAGGGGUUCUGAGAGGAAGGUCCCCCACAUUGGAACUGAGACACGGUCCAAACUCCUACGGGAGGCAGCAGUGAGGAAUAUUGGUCAAUGGGCGAGAGCCUGAACCAGCCAAGUAGCGUGCAGGACGACGGCCCUAUGGGUUGUAAACUGCUUUUAUAAGGGAAUAAAGUGGGUCACGUGUGACUUUUUGCAUGUACCUAUGAAUAAGGACCGGCUAAUUCCGUG